AACGAACGCUGACGGCAGGCUUAACACAUGCAAGUCGAACGCAUCCUUCGGGGUGAGUGGCAGACGGGUGAGUAACGCGUGGGAACGUGCCCUUCAGUUCGGGAUAACCCAGGGAAACUUGGGCUAAUACCGGAUACGUGCGAGAGCAGAAAGAUUUAUCGCUGAAGGAUCGGCCCGCGUCUGAUUAGCUAGUUGGUGGGGUAAUGGCCCACCAAGGCGACGAUCAGUAGCUGGUCUGAGAGGAUGAUCAGCCACAUUGGGACUGAGACACGGCCCAAACUCCUACGGGAGGCAGCAGUGGGGAAUAUUGGACAAUGGGCGCAAGCCUGAUCCAGCCAUGCCGCGUGAGUGAUGAAGGCCUUAGGGUUGUAAAGCUCUUUCGUCCGGGACGAUAAUGACGGUACCGGAAGAAGAAGCCCCGGCUAACUUCGUGCCAGCCACCGCGGUAA
rnacentral:rRNA from 1 species